GACGAACGCUGGCGGCGUGCUUAACACAUGCAAGUCGAACGGAAAGGCCCUGCUUUUGUGGGGUGCUCGAGUGGCGAACGGGUGAGUAACACGUGAGUAACCUGCCCUUGACUUUGGGAUAACUUCAGGAAACUGGGGCUAAUACCGGAUAGGAGCUCCUUCUGCAUGGUGGGGGUUGGAAAGUUUCGGCGGUUGGGGAUGGACUCGCGGCUUAUCAGCUUGUUGGUGGGGUAGUGGCUUACCAAGGCUUUGACGGGUAGCCGGCCUGAGAGGGUGGCCGGCCACAUUGGGACUGAGAUACGGCCCAGACUCCUACGGGAGGCAGCAGUGGGGAAUAUUGCACAAUGGGCGGAAGCCUUAUGCAGCAACGCCGCGUGCGGGAUGACGGCCUUCGGGUUGUAAACCGCUUUCGCCUGUGACGAAGCGUGAGUGACGGUAAUGGGUAAAGAAGCACCGGCUAACUACGUG
rnacentral:rRNA from 1 species